rnacentral:lncRNA from 1 species
CUUUUACACGUUGUCUUUUAUAUGUUUCUUUUAUGUUGUCUAAUGUUGUUGUUUGAACAUUUUUCAGGAAACUGCUAAGAAUUCAGGAGUUGCUAAGGAAGAAUUAAUUCAGAAUUGCUCAUGAUAUCAGGGCCAAGCACAGCUGUAUAUACUCCAGUUCACACCUCAUUUGCAAUGGAGACAGUUUCCUGCAAGCCAUGGCUUUUGUACCAGCAUUUGGGAAAUGAAACAAGACGGAGUUUCUGAUCAUUUCAAACUGAGGGCUAGGAAUUGAAGAAAUAAUUAUUGUCACCCUGCUUAUUGGCAGAAUACGUUUUUCUGUAACUUUCUUUAUCCUUGAUUUUAGAAAGGAUCAGAAGCGUAUGAGUUUUUGUAUCUUCAUGUCCACAUAUAAGAAUUGAACAAAAAAGAUGUAUUAAUCAAGUGUAGAAAGCAAAAGAGCCAGAAGCAGAAGCCAGACAAAUUGUAAUGAUGAAUAAAAUACUUUCUCUUUUUCUUUUUAAACA